ensembl:lncRNA
UGGAAAAGGAUCCUCCAGUCCAUGUCAAGUUUUCAGAGGAGUGCAGCCUCAGCAGACAUAAUUAUAACCUCUUGAAAGACCCUGAGCCUCUAAGCUGCUUCUAGUUUCCCGACCGUCAGAACCUCUUUGAAGUAAUAAAGUCUCCUUUGCUGGUUCUUCCGGGAUGGGAUUACUGCCCUUCUAAGAAAAGGGAGAGACCAGAGCUCCUUCACUCUCAGCCCUAUGAGGACACAGUGAGAAGGUGGCUGUCUGCACGCCAGGAAGCAGACCCACACCAAGAAUCGAAUCUGCCGGCACCCUGGUCUUGUACUUCUCAACCUCCAGAACUACAUCUUCUCAUUGAUUCCAUCCAGAACUUUCCAAACUGGGGCCAGGUGUGUGAGAAGACUUGUGAACGCCCUUUCUCAAUCAGAGCAAACCCAGACCUAAGCUGGUCCGUGGGAGGACGAGAGACCGAACGGAGCAGAGCCGAGUCGCCCCAGCUGUGAGCAUCUGAGACCACCUAGGCCCAGCUGACUUUCCGGCUGACCACAGGCACAGAAUGAGAGAAGAAAGAGGGCAACUGCAAAGAGCAGAUGUCAAGAGGCUGUGGAAUCAACGUGUCUUGAGAAAGCGGAGAUGGAGACUUCGACCACUUCUUUUCAAUUAGUUCGCUUCACCAUCUGGAUCACCAUUGGAGCGCUGAGAAGCCAGAAGGAGAGGUGGCCUCCAGAUGUCUCUAGGGAGCCAACCAGGUUUCUGACAUUUAAGCUCUGCCCCCGUAGAUUUCUUGCAGCACAAGGACUUUGGAAUAAAUAACGGUGGUUUCAAAAUUUGGGACCCUCUUCUCCUGCAUGUCAGCCUGGAUAUACUGGAGGAAAACACCAGCAUAAUGCCUGUUCCUAGGAAUUUAUGUUUCCAAUCACCUGAUCACCUAGCUUUAAAGCUGGUCUAGAAAAGAAAAAGAAAGGAUGACUGAAUCCAGUAAAUGAAGAAAAGUGACCAAUGUUGUGAGGCUUCUGCAAUCGCAAAAUGACAACCCUUUAGCCUUUUCACUAGUGUCAUGUGAUGGUAGGUGAUCUAGACACCCAUCGAAGGAAAACCGUAAGUGAUUUAAUUUGUGAAUGCAAACUUUUCAAUUCCCUAAAUCUGCGUAAUCUCCAAGAAAUGGGUGGUAAGCAGGAAUAAGGGCUAGUGGUGAAAUACUAAAUAUAGAAGGGGUAACUGUCUCUGUCGCGUGCACUUCCCUUCUGGGUGGGAAUUCCAGUAAACUAGGCAGGGAGGAUUGCAUAGAGAGAAAAAGAGCAACAAGUGUGAAAAUCUGUGGGGUAGGCUUCAGGAACUACCAGUAAAUGAUUAUUCUACUGGUGAGGAUUCCCCUACUAAAAUCAAUCUCUCUAGAAGUUUCAGUCCCUUUGUGAAAUAAUACAGUGAGGAGGAAUACUAACUAAAGUCCCUCCACACUUGAGCAGACACUGUUUCUGAGGUUGCCACACACAGUUGUAGGGAAAAUGAGUUACUGUACAAAAAUGUUACUUUGAUAAGUAUCAUAUUUGGAACUCUGUGUCCCUUUAGGAAACUGGCUUGGCCAAUGGUCAUUCUUCACAGUACUUCGAUUUAUCUUCCAG